rnacentral:misc_RNA from 1 species
GUGAAUCAUCGAAUUUUUGAACGCAAAUUGCACUCCCUGGUAUUCCGGGGAGUAUGCCUGUUUGAGGGUCGUGAGAACAAAAAUCGAAGCGUCGCUCUUUUUUUAAGGGUGAUCGAGUCGGAAUUGAGCCGCCUUUCAAAUGUUAAUGCAUGUCAAAGUGGCUUAAAAUACAUCCAUCCGGUACGAUUAGAGCGUAUUUAAGACCAAUUUUGAUUA